rnacentral:rRNA from 1 species
CCUACGGGAGGCAGCAGUGAGGAAUAUUGGUCAAUGGACGAGAGUCUGAACCAGCCAAGUAGCGUGAAGGAUGACUGCCCUAUGGGUUGUAAACUUCUUUUAUAUGGGAAUAAAAUGUUCCACGUGUGGGAUUUUGUAUGUACCAUAUGCAUAAGGAUCGGAUAACUCCGUGCCAGCAGCCGCGGUAAUACGGAGGAUCCGAGCGUUAUCCGGAUUUAUUGGGUUUAAAGGGAGCGUAGGUGGAUUGUUAAGUCAGUUGUGAAAGUUUGCGGCUCAACCGUAAAAUUGCAGUUGAAACUGGCAGGCUUGAGUACAGUAGAGGUGGGCGGAAUUCGUGGUGUAGCGGUGAAAUGCUUAGAUAUCACGAAGAACUCCGAUGGCGAAGGCAGCUCACUGGACUGCAACUGACACUGAGGCUCGAAAGUGUGGGUAUCAAACAGGAUUAGAUACCCGAGUAGUC